AUUGAACGCUGGCGGCAUGCCUUACACAUGCAAGUCGAACGGCAGCACGGGUGCUUGCACCUGGUGGCGAGUGGCGAACGGGUGAGUAAUACAUCGGAACGUACCUUAUCGUGGGGGAUAACGCAGCGAAAGCUGUGCUAAUACCGCAUACGCCCUGAGGGGGAAAGCGGGGGAUCGAAAGACCUCCCGCGAUUACAGCGGCCGAUGCCUGAUUAGCUUGUUGGUGGGGUAAAAGCCCACCAAGGCGACGAUCAGUAGCUGGUCUGAGAGGACGAUCAGCCACACUGGGACUGAGACACGGCCCAGACUCCUACGGGAGGCAGCAGUGGGGAAUUUUGGACAGUGGGGGCAACCCUGAUCCAGCAAUGCCGCGUGAGUGAAGAAGGCCUUCGGGUUGUAAAGCUCUUUUGUCAGGGAAGAAACACCGGCUCUAACACAGUCCGGGAAUGACGGUACCUGAAGAAUAAGCACCGGCUAACUACGUGCCAGCCGCCGCGGUAA
rnacentral:rRNA from 1 species